rnacentral:lncRNA from 1 species
CAAAAAAGUCCAUGCUUAGAUUCAUUAUUUCUUUAGUAUUAUAAAGACCCAGAAUGAAGGUCUAAUCUCAAAACUAGCUGAAGAGAUCAGAUUCAAAUGUCGGAAUCUGUUUUUACAGAAUAUCCUUGGCAAAGUUUACUCUAAGAAAUGUAACACAGUUGGACUGUCUUCCUUUGGCUAUAAAACAUCUUUCAUAGGAAUGUCCAUUAAGGUCUGGGAGGUGGUGUGGGGGGAGUGUCUCAAUGCAAAGUGUUCUUACGUUAAUCAAAAUAUAUUUACGGAAAUAGUUGCUUAUACCUAGGUCUUAUAUUUUAGUCCCUAUACCUGGAAAUACCAGGGGGUAUUCCCAAAGGACUGAACACUGAGCACUUAUGGUUUCUCAUCCUCAUUUGUUUAUUAGUUUCUCUGCUGUAUAACACAGUCAAAGUGUUCUUUAAGCUUUAGUCACUGGAACUGGGUACCUAAAGUAAGAAACUGCCAUCAUGUUUGGUCUUAAUUUUUCCUUUGUUUUUGCCAAGAAUUGAAGAAGACUAAAACAGAUGAUCUCUCUAUUUGUACUGAGUGAGGCCUGGACAUGGUACUUCUGUCACUUUUCUAUCUCUGGAUAAAAAGUUAGAAAAAUCUGCAAAAUUGGAAGGUAUUUGAUCUAUGAGAAGACUUGGCUCUCCAUCUUGCUACCAAGAAGUUAAAGGAAGAAUUUGAAAGUUCUGAAUCUGAAUCACUUGUUCCCCUAGGCAAGAGAGUUGCACUUCUAACAUAUAUGGUUACAAUUCAAGAUUCUCAAAAGAAGGUAAAUUCAUAUCACCCACAACUUAAUUCAAUCAGAACUUCAUAAAUAAGAAGGUGAAGAUCAUUAAGCUCAUAUUAACGUUUAUCAUGGAACAUUUUAAGAGAACUGAAUGAUUCAAUUUUGAUUCAAGUUUUAAGGUAAUUGAGAGGUGACAAAAGAACUCCUUUUGCUCUGACCCAUGACCAUUGAAACUUGUCUCAAAAUAUAUUACUCUAGUUGGUGGCCUACUUCAACUAUAAUUGCAAUCUUCUAUUCAUGACUGAAAAACUCAGUCUUCAGUGUCUGCAUUAUUAAAAAGAAAUUUUAAGUAAACUGAGUAUGUUGAUGCUAUUGAAAUUGACAUUUUAAAUAAUUUUCUAAAGCAAUGUCCCAAAUUUCUGUAAUUCCAUCCAAUUCCUUUGUAUAUACAUACGCU